AUACGGAGGAUCCGAGCGUUAUCCGGAUUUAUUGGGUUUAAAGGGUGCGCAGACGGCCAUUUAAGUCAGCGGUUAAAUCGUGGGGCUCAACCCCAUUCUGCCGUUGAUACUGGGUGGCUUGAUUGCGGUCGAGGUUGGCGGAAUUCGUUGUGUAGCGGGGAAAUGCAUAGAUAUGACGAAGAACACCGAUUGCGUAGGCAGCUGACCAGACCGCAAAUGACGCUCAUGCACGAAAGUGCGGGGAUCGAACAGGAUUAGAUACCCUGGUAGUCCGCACAGUAAACGAUGAAUACUUGUUUUCGGCGAUAUAAUGUCGGAGGCAAAGCGAAAGCGAUAAGUAUUCCACCUGGGGAGUACGCCGGCAACGGUGAAACUCAAAUGAAUUGGCGGGG
rnacentral:rRNA from 1 species